AAUAUACUUAUGGCAACUUCAUUUCAGGAUUCUUUCUCUCACUUCUCAACUUUCCCACAGAGGCACUGAGCAAUUUUAAUCAAUCGUUUUUGAAUGAAACUAAACACACAAUGAGGGUAUCGGUUCAAUGGCUGUUAUUUUUGUAUAUGAGAAAUAGUCGUGCUGAUGAUGAGAGUGUUGUAGAGCUAAAAAGCACGCACGAGAGAUAGUAAAAUUACGUAUUUAUAGACAAUUUCUCACUACAUAUCACUUUGUGAAGAAGUGUAUAUAUUCACCCCGAUUCAACACAACUCACAAACGAGAGACUUUCAAUCUCAUAUUUCGAAUUUUAGAGACACAAACGAUGGACAUUCUUUGAACCUUGUCCGGUGUGUGGCUCUGUUGGUGAUUUGAUGUGUAUCGGUUUUGAGAAGUGAAAUUAUAUAUUGAGUGCGCUGCUGCUGAAUGGGAUCCUCUGGCGAUGGUCCACACUGAGUAAUCACUUUUGGCGAAGGGAAAAGAUGUAGAUAAGAGUGUAAUCUCUCUCUUGAGGCGUUGGUCUCUCAGCACUCCAUUCUCUCGUAGCCUCAGUGACUGACUGACGGACGGCAACUAUUCGACGGUCGAAGGCGAUCCGAUAAUAAUUCUGUACGCUGUGUGUACUUUUGAUGAUGUGUUGUGUGUACAACAUAUAAUAUUCCCUGAGUGUUUUCCUCCCGAGCGUGUGAGAGCGACUGAGAAAUGCGCGCCAAAGCGAAAGAGACGAUCCAACACAAAACCAUCGCGUGGAAUACAAUGGGAAGGAGAGAUGAUGAGAGGUGGAUAGAAAGAGAGAAGGAAGGAAGAAGUUCGCUGAAAGAAUUCUAUAGAGAACACUGUGAAAUUCUACGAGACAGAGAGAAAAGUGUAAGAGAAAAAUGAGAUGAAGUGCAAUUUUUUUGUAGGAUUUGUUACUCAGAGUGACUCUUUCGGGGUGCAGAAAUAUAUAAUUCAGCAAGAAGAGAGGUGUUAAAAUGCAGUGGAAACACACACUUGUGUGUGAAAAUUCACAAAUGCUGGAGAGCCAGAGCGUUGGCAAUGCUGCACUUUUCGCAUCAUUGAGUC